GAUGAACGCUGGCGGCGUGCCUAACACAUGCAAGUCGAGCGAUUUACUUCGGUAAAGAGCGGCGGACGGGUGAGUAACGCGUGGGUAACCUGCCCUGUACACACGGAUAACAUACCGAAAGGUAUGCUAAUACGAGAUAAUAUACUUUUAUCUCAUGGUAGAAGUAUCAAAGCUCUGGCGGUACAGGAUGGACCCGCGUCUGAUUAGCUAGUUGGUAAGGUAACGGCUUACCAAGGCGACGAUCAGUAGCCGACCUGAGAGGGUGAUCGGCCACAUUGGACCUGAGACACGGUCCAAACUCCUACGGGAGGCAGCGGUGGGGAAUAUUGCACAAUGGGCGAAAGCCUGAUGCAGCAACACCGCGUGAGCGAUGAAGGCCUUCGGGUCGUAAAGCUCUGUCCUCAAGGAAGAUAAUGACGGUACUUGAGGAGGAAGCCCCGGCUAACUACGUGCCAGCAGCCGCCGUAA
rnacentral:rRNA from 1 species